GAGUUUGAUCCUGGCUCAGGACGAACGCUGGCGGCGUGCUUAACACAUGCAAGUCGAACGGAAAGGCCCGCUUGCGGGUACUCGAGUGGCGAACGGGUGAGUAACACGUGGGCAACCUGCCCUCAGCUCUGGGAUAACUCCGGGAAACCGGUGCUAAUACUGGAUAUCGACUUCUGCCUCGCAUGGGGUGCUGUUGAAAGUUUUUCGGCUGGGGAUGGGCCCGCGGCCUAUCAGCUUGUGGUGGGUGAUGGCCUACCAAGGCGACGACGGGUAGCCGGCCUGAGAGGGCGACCGGCCACACU
rnacentral:rRNA from 1 species